ensembl:piRNA 21ur-7258 ncRNA
UGGAUUCUACUAUAUGGUACA